GCAGGGAGCCGGUCCGCCGCCGGAACGGGAGCCUGGGUGUGCGUGUGGAGUCGGGACUCGUGGGAGACGGUCGCGAUGAACACGGUGCUGUCGAGGGCGAACUCGCUGUUCGCCUUCUCGCUGAGCGUGAUGGCGGCGCUCACCUUCGGCUGCUUCAUCACCACCGCCUUCAAAGACAGGAGCGUCCCGGUGCGGCUGCACGUCUCGCGGAUCAUGCUAAAAAAUGUAGAAGAUUUCACUGGACCUAGAGAAAGAAGUGAUCUGGGAUUUAUCACAUUUGAUAUAACUGCUGAUCUAGAGAAUAUAUUUGAUUGGAAUGUUAAGCAGUUGUUUCUUUAUUUAUCAGCAGAAUAUUCAACAAAAAAUAAUGCUCUGAACCAAGUUGUCCUAUGGGACAAGAUUGUUUUGAGAGGUGAUAAUCCGAAGCUGCUGCUGAAAGAUAUGAAAACAAAAUAUUUUUUCUUUGACGAUGGAAAUGGUCUCAAGUGAGCAAUUCUUGGUCUUUUUUUUACAUUUAAUAGGAGGUGAAAAAGAGAGAAAGAUGUAUUUUUAUUUUAAAGAAAAAUACUUGAGAGUAAAAGGAGAAAAA
rnacentral:sRNA from 1 species